UCUCUGCAAAAGCACGAUAGUUUCAACUGUGUAACCCACGAUUUUGUAUAAUGGGUAGCAACUGUUCAAAACUGUAAAUAUAUAUUUCUUCCACAACUACACGUUCUUCAAUUCUAAUGUUCCUUCUUCUAUCAAGAUUUCAAGAAAACUUACGUCUUAUACAAAAGAUGGCUACUCACAUGAUUUCAUCAAGGAUAUAACAAUUUCGAAGAUGCAAUGGAAGUUGAAAGUUCGUGUUGUCCGUUUGUGGGAAGUACCGGAUCGUUUUAAUCCAGGCACCAUAUUCUCGAUUGAAUUGGUUCUACAAGAUGAAAAGGGGCUUCAAGAAUUAAUGGUGCUGAUGUGAAUGCAAGCAGAUUUGAGCUAGGCCGCAGAAGAAACAAGCGUUGAAGGUUCUUCAAGAAUUAUUGGUGGUGAUUUGAAUACUAGCAAUUUGAGCUAGGUGAAAUAUCUAAAUUUGUGUGCUCUUACUUGAACAUUAGAAUUUUCAAUUUUUCUAUCUAUUGACCUUUGUUUCAAUCCUUAGUCAUCCUCUUAUUUAAAAAA